AGCGGUAGCACAGGGGAGCUUGCUCCCUGGGUGACGAGCGGCGGACGGGUGAGUAAUGUCUGGGAAACUGCCUGAUGGAGGGGGAUAACUACUGGAAACGGUAGCUAAUACCGCAUAAUGUCGCAAGACCAAAGAGGGGGACCUUCGGGCCUCUUGCCAUCAGAUGUGCCCAGAUGGGAUUAGCUAGUAGGUGGGGUAAUGGCUCACCUAGGCGACGAUCCCUAGCUGGUCUGAGAGGAUGACCAGCCACACUGGAACUGAGACACGGUCCAGACUCCUACGGGAGGCAGCAGUGGGGAAUAUUGCACAAUGGGCGCAAGCCUGAUGCAGCCAUGCCGCGUGUGUGAAGAAGGCCUUCGGGUUGUAAAGCACUUUCAGCGAGGAGGAAGGUGGUGAGCUUAAUACGCUCAUCAAUUGACGUUACUCGCAGAAGAAGCACCGGCUAACUCCGUGCCAGCAGCCGCGGUAAUACGGAGGGUGCAAGCGUUAAUCGGAAUUACUGGGCGUAAAGCGCACGCAGGCGGUUUGUUAAGUCAGAUGUGAAAUCCCCGGGCUCAACCUGGGAACUGCAUUUGAAACUGGCAAGCUAGAGUCUCGUAGAGGGGGGUAGAAUUCCAGGUGUAGCGGUGAAAUGCGUAGAGAUCUGGAGGAAUACCGGUGGCGAAGGCGGCCCCCUGGACGAAGACUGACGCUCAGGUGCGAAAGCGUGGGGGAGCAAACAGGAUUAGAUACCCUGGUAGUCCACGCUGUAAACGAUGUCGAUUUGGAGGUUGUGCC
rnacentral:rRNA from 1 species